UUAAGCGACUAAGCGUACACGGUGGAUGCCCUGGCAGUCAGAGGCGAUGAAGGGCGUGCUAAUCUGCGAUAAGCGCCGGUAAGGUGAUAUGAACCGUUAUAACCGGCGAUACCCGAAUGGGGAAACCCAGUGUGACUCGUCACACUAUCAUUAACUGAAUCCAUAGGUUAAUGAGGCGAACCGGGGGAACUGAAACAUCUAAGUACCCCGAGGAAAAGAAAUCAACCGAGAUUCCCCCAGUAGCGGCGAGCGAACGGGGAGGAGCCCAGAGCCUGAAUCAGCAUGUGUGUUAGUGGAAGCGUCUGGAAAGGCGCGCGAUACAGGGUGACAGCCCCGUACACAAAAGCGCAUGUGCUGUGAGCUCGAUGAGUAGGGCGGGACACGUGGUAUCCUGUCUGAAUAUGGGGGGACCAUCCUCCAAGGCUAAAUACUCCUGACUGACCGAUAGUGAACCAGUACCGUGAGGGAAAGGCGAAAAGAACCCCGGCGAGGGGAGUGAAAAAGAACCUGAAACCGUGUACGUACAAGCAGUGGGAGCACAGGUUUACCUGUGUGACUGCGUACCUUUUGUAUAAUGGGUCAGCGACUUAUAUUCUGUAGCAAGGUUAACCGUAUAGGGGAGCCGGAGGGAAACCGAGUCUUAAUUGGGCGUUAAGUUGCAGGGUAUAGACCCGAAACCCGGUGAUCUAGCCAUGGGCAGGUUGAAGGUUGGGUAACACUAACUGGAGGACCGAACCGACUAAUGUUGAAAAAUUAGCGGAUGACCUGUGGCUGGGGGUGAAAGGCCAAUCAAACCGGGAGAUAGCUGGUUCUCCCCGAAAGCUAUUUAGGUAGCGCCUCGUGAAUUCAUCUCCGGGGGUAGAGCACUGUUUCGGCUAGGGGGCCAUCCCGGCUUACCAACCCGAUGCAAACUGCGAAUACCGGAGAAUGUUAUCACGGGAGACACACGGCGGGUGCUAACGUCCGUCGUGAAGAGGGAAACAACCCAGACCGCCAGCUAAGGUCCCAAAGUCAUGGUUAAGUGGGAAACGAUGUGGGAAGGCCCAGACAGCCAGGAUGUUGGCUUAGAAGCAGCCAUCAUUUAAAGAAAGCGUAAUAGCUCACUGGUCGAGUCGGCCUGCGCGGAAGAUGUAACGGGGCUAAACCAUGCACCGAAGCUGCGGCAGCGACGCUUAUGCGUUGUUGGGUAGGGGAGCGUUCUGUAAGCCUGUGAAGGUGGCCUGUGAGGGUUGCUGGAGGUAUCAGAAGUGCGAAUGCUGACAUAAGUAACGAUAAAGCGGGUGAAAAGCCCGCUCGCCGGAAGACCAAGGGUUCCUGUCCAACGUUAAUCGGGGCAGGGUGAGUCGACCCCUAAGGCGAGGCCGAAAGGCGUAGUCGAUGGGAAACGGGUUAAUAUUCCCGUACUUGGUGUUACUGCGAAGGGGGGACGGAGAAGGCUAUGUUGGCCGGGCGACGGUUGUCCCGGUUUAAGCGUGUAGGUGUGUGUUCCAGGUAAAUCCGGUUCACUUUAACACUGAGGCGUGACGACGAGGCACUACGGUGCUGAAGCAACAAAUGCCCUGCUUCCAGGAAAAGCCUCUAAGCAUCAGGUAACAUCAAAUCGUACCCCAAACCGACACAGGUGGUCAGGUAGAGAAUACCAAGGCGCUUGAGAGAACUCGGGUGAAGGAACUAGGCAAAAUGGUGCCGUAACUUCGGGAGAAGGCACGCUGACACGUAGGUGAAGUGAUUUACUCAUGGAGCUGAAGUCAGUCGAAGAUACCAGCUGGCUGCAACUGUUUAUUAAAAACACAGCACUGUGCAAACACGAAAGUGGACGUAUACGGUGUGACGCCUGCCCGGUGCCGGAAGGUUAAUUGAUGGGGUCAGCGCAAGCGAAGCUCCUGAUCGAAGCCCCGGUAAACGGCGGCCGUAACUAUAACGGUCCUAAGGUAGCGAAAUUCCUUGUCGGGUAAGUUCCGACCUGCACGAAUGGCGUAAUGAUGGCCAGGCUGUCUCCACCCGAGACUCAGUGAAAUUGAACUCGCUGUGAAGAUGCAGUGUACCCGCGGCAAGACGGAAAGACCCCGUGAACCUUUACUAUAGCUUGACACUGAACAUUGAGCCUUGAUGUGUAGGAUAGGUGGGAGGCUUUGAAGUGUGGACGCCAGUCUGCAUGGAGCCGACCUUGAAAUACCACCCUUUAAUGUUUGAUGUUCUAACGUGGACCCGUUACCCGGGUUGCGGACAGUGUCUGGUGGGUAGUUUGACUGGGGCGGUCUCCUCCUAAAGAGUAACGGAGGAGCACGAAGGUUGGCUAAUCCUGGUCGGACAUCAGGAGGUUAGUGCAAUGGCAUAAGCCAGCUUGACUGCGAGCGUGACGGCGCGAGCAGGUGCGAAAGCAGGUCAUAGUGAUCCGGUGGUUCUGAAUGGAAGGGCCAUCGCUCAACGGAUAAAAGGUACUCCGGGGAUAACAGGCUGAUACCGCCCAAGAGUUCAUAUCGACGGCGGUGUUUGGCACCUCGAUGUCGGCUCAUCACAUCCUGGGGCUGAAGUAGGUCCCAAGGGUAUGGCUGUUCGCCAUUUAAAGUGGUACGCGAGCUGGGUUUAGAACGUCGUGAGACAGUUCGGUCCCUAUCUGCCGUGGGCGCUGGAGAACUGAGGGGGGCUGCUCCUAGUACGAGAGGACCGGAGUGGACGCAUCACUGGUGUUCGGGUUGUCAUGCCAAUGGCACUGCCCGGUAGCUAAAUGCGGAAGAGAUAAGUGCUGAAAGCAUCUAAGCACGAAACUUGCCCCGAGAUGAGUUCUCCCUGAGACUUUAAGUCUCCUGAAGGAACGUUGAAGACGACGACGUUGAUAGGCCGGGUGUGUAAGCGCAGCGAUGCGUUGAGCUAACCGGUACUAAUGAACCGUGAGGCUUAACCUU
rnacentral:rRNA from 1 species